CUUCUUUUAGAGGCAACACAGCAUAGUGGUUAAGACUUCUGAGCCAGACUUCCUGUUCAGGGACAAAUUGGGUGUCCUGUUUUACAACCAAGGAACUCAGACCCACUGAGGCAUUAAGAGGACCCUGAAGCAGAACAAGCAACUAAGCUGUGUUGCUUAUUCACAGUUACCAAGUUCUUUUUGAAGAGAUUAGGACACAGACACACACGGGGAAGACCUUGUGAAGACGCAGGGAGGAGAUGCUCAUCUGCAAGCCAAGGAGAGAGGCCUCAGAAGAAACCAACCCUACCGACACCUGGGUCUUGGAUUUCUAGCCUCCAGGACUGUGAGAACACAAAUUUCUGUG